AUGACCCCUGGGGGUUUGACCCUACCUACACCUGGAGUCAAUCCCCUAACAGUCCUGCCACCACGCCGCAGAACAUGAGCUCGUAUGGAAACUUGGAUUUCUGGCGUAACGAUGGUGAAUGGUAUCAAAAUAUUACUAUCGCAUAAUAUAGUAUAUACACUAAAGGUUGGCCAAAAUAUGGACACCUAA
rnacentral:rRNA from 1 species